rnacentral:rRNA from 1 species
AGCUCCAAUAGCGUAUAUUAAAGUUGCUGCAGUUAAAAAGCUCGUAGUUGCAUUUCCGAGGCAAGGGAUUAGUCCGACCUUUGGUGGGUAUUUAAUCCUCUUGCCUCGUCCUUGAGUGGUGCUUCUUGGUAUUAAGUUAUCGAGGAGAUAGCCGCUCAUCGUUUACUGUGAGAAAAUUAGAGUGUUCAAAGCAGGCUUAUGCCGUUGAAUAUAUUAGCAUGGAAUAAUAAGAUAGGACCUCGGUACUAUUUUGUUGGUUUGAGAACCAAGGUAAUGAUAAAUAGGGACAGUUGGGGGUAUUCGUAUUCAGUUGUCAGAGGUGAAAUUCUUAGAUUUACGGAAGACGAACUACUGCGAAAGCAUUUACCAAGGAUGUUGUCA